GUAGUAGAGCGGUGUUAGCAAGUUAAUCCUCCAAAUUUUCGGUUGAAGGAAAAUAAAUUUUAACAUCUUACUCUUUACUAUGCUUAAAUUGUCUAGAAUAUGGAUUAUAGUUUGAUCGUGUCAGGGUCUCAGCGAAACCAGUGGUCAAAAUAUACUACGUCUCGCUAGAAUGUGGCAAUCAGUUUAGACAGUCCAUAUUUCUCUCUCUCUCGUUAUCUAUAUAUAUAUAUACAUAUAUAUGUGUGUGUGUGUGUAUGUGCGUGUACGUUCAUGAGCCCGUCCGUUGAUUGUUGUUUUUACUUUGCGCAGAUUAGAGAGUUUCUUCGGAGUAAGUUCCUCUUCCAGCAACAAGAGAAAGGUGGGUUUGGCUUUCUUUUAGUAUUGCUGGUUGUGGACCGCUGUCCGUGUCUCUAUAAUAGACGUGUAGUCUUCCUUACCGCACGCGAAAAAACUACAUGAAAUUGUGUUUGGAUCCCAAAAUUUUAAGGUUCCUUAGAUUUUCGAUAUGAUAAUAUAUCACGUGCAAUCAUCUGAAGUGAACGUGGCAACAGAUAGGUUUUGUGUUAAUAAAUGUCUUCAAACUGUUUGACGAGCUGCAGAAUAUAUUAAUUGUAUUCCAGUUCUUACCAUUGUGUUUGGAACUCUUGCAGGAGGCCCCUGAUUCUGAAGCUUCUGCCGGAAAGCAGGUUAAAACGGCUGCUGCUGUAAAACCUGCUAAAGCUGCUUCGAAGAAAGGUCCUGCAAAGGGGGGCAAAAAGAAAUAAAUCUUUUCCAGAUCUUAAAGAGUGAGGAAGCGUGGGCGUUGUAGUUAAAAGCAUAGCAAUAGGUCUAUCACGUCAAAGAUCAGAUGAACAUUAAGAGUUGAAGAGCCCGUCUGCUCUCUUAUAAAACAGUCAUAACUCACUUCAUAGUUUCAGGACCUCCUUCUGUACAGAUGACAUGCGAGCACUUGCUGAAGCGUAGUCAAUAUUUUAAUGUAUCUGGUAGUGUCCUUUGAGUGUUUUCUUGGAGGUCGCAGAUCAGGAAAUGGUGUGUGUUGAGUUUGAAACUCUAAACCAGCAGUUCAUUUCCAAAUUUUUCGACUUGGAAAGCUAUAUGCUCCCGCCAGGGAUAAUCAUUUGUUGUGUUUUGACCAAUCGGUCACGACGGACUUUUUGUAAUGGCAAUAAGUCCGUUUUAGGCCUUUUAGAACUGAUGUACAUGACUCUCAAAGUGAGCUUUGAAAACUUAGUAAUACCUUUCUAAGGCUUAUUUUUCCAAAUGGCGUGGGUCGUUCAGAAGUUAAGGGUUCGGAGGCAUUCUGAUGUAGCAUUGCUUCAACCGAGUUGUGAGCUUGCCUCUCUACAGACGCGUAGGCUUUAUGUAAAUGUAUAGAAAG
rnacentral:lncRNA from 1 species